CGCUUCUUUCCUCCCGAGUGCUUGCACUCAAUUGGAAAGAGGAGUGGCGGACGGGUGAGUAACACGUGGGUAACCUACCCAUCAGAGGGGGAUAACACUUGGAAACAGGUGCUAAUACCGCAUAACAGUUUAUGCCGCAUGGCAUAAGAGUGAAAGGCGCUUUCGGGUGUCGCUGAUGGAUGGACCCGCGGUGCAUUAGCUAGUUGGUGAGGUAACGGCUCACCAAGGCCACGAUGCAUAGCCGACCUGAGAGGGUGAUCGGCCACACUGGGACUGAGACACGGCCCAGACUCCUACGGGAGGCAGCAGUAGGGAAUCUUCGGCAAUGGACGAAAGUCUGACCGAGCAACGCCGCGUGAGUGAAGAAGGUUUUCGGAUCGUAAAACUCUGUUGUUAGAGAAGAACAAGGACGUUAGUAACUGAACGUCCCCUGACGGUAUCUAACCAGAAAGCCACGGCUAACUACGUGCCAGCAGCCGCGGUAAUACGUAGGUGGCAAGCGUUGUCCGGAUUUAUUGGGCGUAAAGCGAGCGCAGGCGGUUUCUUAAGUCUGAUGUGAAAGCCCCCGGCU
rnacentral:rRNA from 1 species